GACGAACGCUGGCGGCGUGCUUAACACAUGCAAGUCGAACGAAGAGCGACGGAAGCUUGCUUCUAUCAAUCUUAGUGGCGAACGGGUGAGUAACGCGUAAUCAACCUGCCCUUCAGAGGGGGACAACAGUUGGAAACGACUGCUAAUACCGCAUACGAUCUAAUCUCGGCAUCGAGGAUGGAUGAAAGGUGGCCUCUACAUGUAAGCUAUCACUGAAGGAGGGGAUUGCGUCUGAUUAGCUAGUUGGAGGGGUAACGGCCCACCAAGGCGAUGAUCAGUAGCCGGUCUGAGAGGAUGAACGGCCACAUUGGGACUGAGACACGGCCCAGACUCCUACGGGAGGCAGCAGUGGGGAAUCUUCCGCAAUGGACGAAAGUCUGACGGAGCAACGCCGCGUGAGUAAUGACGGCCUUCGGGUUGUAAAGCUCUGUUAAUCGGGACGAAAGGCCUUCUUGCGAAUAGUGAGAAGGAUUGACGGUACCGGAAUAGAAAGCCACGGCUAACUACGUG
rnacentral:rRNA from 1 species